UUUGUAUAAAACAGGGAUAUUAAUGACUACUGCUGACAAACAGUACAGAAAAAUACCACUACUGUGUAAAAAAAAGCAAACAAGAUCAAGCCACUUUGGCUAUGAUAAAUGCAGAUAGCAAAGUAUAAAAUAAAAAAGGUUCUUUCACAGUGCUAUAUAGCUGUUUGUCCAAUGUUUAUUUUUUACAAUAAUAUUUACUAUAAAUUAUUGUGUUGUUGAUCAUGACAACAUAUUGAAGUAUCAAUGUUGGAAAUGAAUCUCCCCCCAUAAGGAGAAGAUUAGUCACUAUAGAUGCAAGCACACCAUUUUGAACAAACACAGACAUCAUCCACGAAUAUGACUAAACAAAAAGAGAAACCACUUUCAGUGUUUGGUUGCAUUAUUUGGGAUAACUAAGUGCUUUUUUACUCUACAUUUAAAGGAUGCAAAGUUACAGGAUGAUGGAAACAGGCCACAGGAAGUCAUGUAAAAGUUGGCAAACUUAUUUGUAUGUGAGCACAGGUGAUCUACCAUAUAUGAAUAGUCUUCAUGGUGUGAAAUCGGAAAGUGGAAGGUGAGGGAAUCAAGUUCUUCUGAGCACUUUCCCAUGGAGUAAGCAGUAGCAGACAAAGAUUAGUUACCAAUUUAAUUUCAUCAGUGUUUUUGUAAUUAUUUAGUUACAUUUUUAUUAGUCAUUUGAAACAGGCUAUAAUAUGAUGUUAGCCAAGUGGAUUGAUAAAUAGAUAAAGAAUUUUAUUUCAACUAACAACAAAUUAACUUGUUUUAGUAUAUAUGUUUUAUAAUAUUAAUGAAUGAAUAUAAUUUUGUUUGCAUUAUAGAAUGUAGUAAACAAUAAGAUAUACCCUUGUAUAAGUAAAAUAAGGUAAUGUUAUUGCUGAAAGCACUCUUUUCAAGAUAACCUUAGGAUAAUAGAAAUGUUUUUACUUUUGAACUAAUUUUAAUACAUUAUUUAAUGAAUAAUAUAAAUACAUAGCAGUCUUUUUAGAAGCAAUGUACAGUAUGAUUACAUACACAUUCGAGCAUUUUAACACUUCCCUAAAUUCGACUAGGUGAGAAUAAAUUGCAUUAAGUCUGCCUCGUACACAUAUCUUGUACUAAAGAAUAAAUAAAUAAAGAACUAUUUUAUAUUAAUUCACAGAAUUAAUUCCUGUCUUAAUUAAUAUUAAUUUGAACAAAAUGACUUUUAUUGUAGAAUAAAAACAAUUAUGAGUUUUCCUUUUGCAAUCAACUAUUAGACAUCCUGUAGAUUGAAGGCCUAGAAUUUAAUAGCAGACAGAAAUCUGUACUGAACAAUAUUUUUCUUGUAAAGUAUGAUAUAAAAAGAGAUCAUGCAUCUAAUUUUAAUGAAUGAAAUAUUCAAAGCUUUAAAUAAAAAUAAAUAGACAAUGACUGAUUCACUACACACAAUGAGUGGAAUUUAGAAGAAGGUAAUGUGUACACUUUCACAGGUUAAUGUCAUAAAUAAAUUUAAACAAAUGCCAAUUUCCACAUUGAA